rnacentral:lncRNA from 1 species
CUUUUCGGACGAUCUGUGAGAGCAAAGCAGACAAGAUGUAGGCAGGGGACUGAUAGUUCUGGUGGCGGAAUCCACCACUGGAAGAUUUCGAACAUAGAAUAGUUGAUGAAUUUAGGAUGAUAGAGUCCGUGCCCAGCGAUUGUGUGAUCUGUUGAUUCUAAACUAAGAUUGUCGGGUGUAUUCCAUUCUGCAACGAUUCAACUGAGCGCCAGUGAAAGAUAUAGAAUCCUUUGUGUAUACGCCAGGAGAAGUAUAAGGCAUACCUGGCUGUUGCCAGGUAAUUGUUGGGUGGAGCCUAGAAGGAAUGCUAAUGAGAGUCACUCUUUGCUUCUAGGAUUUUCAUGACUUUUCCCAGUUAUUUUCGUUAUACUUAAUUCCUCAGUAUUAACCACUCUCUGGGACUUCGGAGGAGCCAUCUUCUGCCUGAUUGUGACACCUGCCCCGUGAUUCCUCCUUCUGUCCAUUCCAACCCAGCAGGUCCAGAGUUUUCACAGACAUAUACUUGCUAGACAUCAUUAAUGCAAGCAGCUCACCAUGCUCUGACCACUCAGUAUGAGGAGUAUAAAGUCCUUUCAUAUCUGCUAUCACCCAGAAAGACUGCAGUUAUUUCCCGUUAAUCUCUAUCAAGAGCAAACCUGUUUCCGAAGCACAUUCUCAACCUGGCUCCUUGCUCCUCAGGGUUAUUCUCUCGUUCUGGCUGAAAUGUCAUUGUCUUGCGGGUAGUCUUGAUGUCUUUUUGCACAAAUGUGAAUUUUCCCUUCCUGAGUAUCACGUAAUUUUGAUUGUAUUUCACCAGGUAUGUAUUUUACUUCAAAAUGAUCCAAACUUAUAUUUUAACCAAACACGGGGGAAUUUCAUUGCUGCCACAUCUAGCAGACGGCACAAAAUAGCACCUGGUUGGAGGAACUAAUUAGGGAUGUUUCUGCACAACGAAUCAGAAGAAUGAAAAGACGUGGAAACCUCUCCUGUCUGAAAUUCAAGCUCACACUCCUGUCCUCUGUUCCUUUCCUUAAAGCUCCACUGGAUGCGGGACUAUUUUUCAAAAUUAAAGUGACCAACACUGGAGAUAAAGUAGUUGGGAUUAAACCUGAAGGCUUAUUUCACCACACUAAAGGAAAGAAAGACCACUGUAUUGUGUCUUACGAAGGCCAUGGUAGGAGGAUGGAGUGUCUGCUGAUCUAUAUGAACAAGGAGCGGCUGGAAAACCAGAAACGUAACUUCUGGAAGUUGGAGCUAUCCAUCUGGCUUACUUACUGAGAACUGUAGGCACCCGCACUGCAAGCAUUAUUUAUAUACUAAGUAAUGCAUUUAAGAUUUAUGAGGAAUGAGAAGUCACACCACACCUAGAAGGGUGUGAACACGGAAUGCCUGCACUCAGGGAGAGAUCUGCGUCAGCUGUAUUUUUGAUCAAAAGUUGUUCCCAUAGUGACAACACUCUCCCCCUUAUCAGUAUUUCUUCUUGUUACUUGGUUACCAAAAUAUGAAAUGAAUACUGAAUGCAGGUCAUGAGCAUGAGAGCGAAUAUAAAGCUAACUAGUUAUCUAGGUCUAACUCUGUCAUGAUUUUUCUUUAUAUUUUUGGUGGUGGUUAAAUACAUAAAUAUAUUCAGUGGUCUAAGUAUAGAACCCAAUAUGAAGCCCACAGCCUCCAAAUGCCUAUUGUAACUUCCCAGAAGUUCACUGAGGUAUACAAACCUUAGGUCUAAUAAAUUCACUGUGUA